rnacentral:rRNA from 1 species
UGGGGAAUUUUGGACAAUGGGCGCAAGCCUGAUCCAGCAAUGCCGCGUGCAGGAUGAAGGCCUUCGGGUUGUAAACUGCUUUUGUACGGAACGAAAAAGCCCUCUCUAAUACAGGGGGUGAAUGACGGUACCGUAAGAAUAAGCACCGGCUAACUACGUGCCAGCAGCCGCGGUAAUACGUAGGGUGCAAGCGUUAAUCGGAAUUACUGGGCGUAAAGCGUGCGCAGGCGGUUUUGUAAGACAGAGGUGAAAUCCCCGGGCUCAACCUGGGAACUGCCUUUGUGACUGCAAAGCUGGAGUGCGGCAGAGGGGGAUGGAAUUCCGCGUGUAGCAGUGAAAUGCGUAGAUAUGCGGAGGAACACCGAUGGCGAAGGCAAUCCCCUGGGCCUGCACUGACGCUCAUGCACGAAAGCGUGGGGAGCAAACA